GGGGCUUGGGGCGAGGAACAUUAUCGAAAACUAUGGGAAAGAACACAUCCAGAAAGUGUGAAGAAACCGCUAUCUCCUAUGCCGUAUGAAAAGGUGUCUCCAGAAUACCGCUACCACGACCACAACAAUCUAAGCACAAAGAAUAGAAGCAAUGCGACCGAAGCC